UACGUAGGGUGCAAGCGUUAAUCGGAAUUACUGGGCGUAAAGCGUGCGCAGGCGGUUAUAUAAGACAGUCGUGAAAUCCCUGGGCUCAACCUGGGACCUGCAUUUGUGACUGCAUAGCUAGAGUACGGUAGAGGGGGAUGGAAUUCCGCGUGUAGCAGUGAAAUGCGUAGAUAUGCGGAGGAACACCGAUGGCGAAGGCAAUCCCCUGGGCCUGCACUGACGCUCAUGCACGAAAGCGUGGGGAGCAAACAGG
rnacentral:rRNA from 1 species